rnacentral:ncRNA from 1 species
UGGCGUUGAAGUAAUGGACCGGUUCGGCAUCAGCCUGUUAUGGAGCCAAACCGUGGGUUAAGCGAAAACCACAAGCCGAAUAGAUUCGAUGAAUCGAAAGAAAACGCAAAAU